rnacentral:rRNA from 1 species
AUGGUGGCGCACGCGCUGCUCACCGUGCCGCACGCGACCGCCGGCCCGCGACUGGCCGCACCGCUUUUCACCCCGGCGGCGACCUCGCCGAGCCUCUGCCGCGCGAACUGCCGGUCCGGCUCCCUCACCAACCAGCAGCAACGGCUGCGCCACCUUCACCCUGCCGCUGCGGCCACCAAGCCCGGAGCCAUAGGGAGCGCCGCGGAGGCUGCUGCAGCGCCGGCGGAGGGGCUCGUGAGGUCGCUGCAGGGGGUGGAGGUGUUCGACCUGAGCGGGAAGGCGGUGCGCGUCGCUGAUCUAUGGAAGGACAGGAAGGCUGUGGUUGCGUUCGCCCGCCAUUUCGGGUGUGUGCUCUGCCGGAAGAGGGCUGACCUUCUGGCGGCUAAGCAGGAGGCAAUGGAAGCUGCAGGAGUUUCUCUUGUUUUAAUCGGACCAGGUACUGUUGAACAGGCAAAGGCGUUUUCUGAUCAAACGAAAUUCAAAGGAGAAGUAUAUGCCGAUCCAGAUUACUCAUCAUAUAAGGCUCUGGAAUUUGCCAAUGGCUUAUUCUCAACAUUUACUCCAUCGGCGGGUCUGAAGAUUAUACAACUGUACAGGGAAGGAUACAGGCAGGACUGGGAACUGUCAUUUGAAAAGAACACCAGGACAAAAGGCGGAUGGUAUCAAGGGGGGCUCCUUGUUGCAGGCCCAGGCAUCGACAACAUCUCCUACAUCCACAAGGACAAAGAAGCUGGAGAUGACCCUGAAAUGGAGGAUGUUUUGAGAGCUUGUUGUUCCUAG